GACGAACGCUGGCGGUGUGCUUAACACAUGCAAGUCGAACGGUAAGGCCCUUUCGGGGGUACACGAGUGGCGAACGGGUGAGUAACACGUGAGUAACCUGCCCUCAUCUCUGGGAUAACAGUCGGAAACGGUUGCUAAUACUGGAUAUGAGCUUGCAAGGCAUCUUGUGGGUUGGAAAAAUUUUUUUGGUUGGGGAUGGACUCGCGGCCUAUCAGCUUGUUGGUGAGGUAGUGGCUCACCAAGGCUUCGACGGGUAGCCGGCCUGAGAGGGCGACCGGCCACAUUGGGACUGAGAUACGGCCCAAACUCCUACGGGAGGCAGCAGUGGGGAAUAUUGCACAAUGGACGGAAGUCUGAUGCAGCAACGCCGCGUGCGGGAUGACGGCCUUCGGGUUGUAAACCGCUUUCAAUUGUGACGAAGCUUUUUGUGACGGUAGCAGUAGAAGAAGCACCGGCUAACUACGUG
rnacentral:rRNA from 1 species